AGAGUUUGAUCCUGGCUCAGGAUGAACGCUGGCGGCGUGCUUAACACAUGCAAGUCGAACGGUGAAGCCAAGCUUGCUUGGUGGAUCAGUGGCGAACGGGUGAGUAACACGUGAGCAACCUGCCCUGGACUCUGGGCAUAAGCGCUGGAAACGGCGUCUAAUACUGGAUAUGAGCUCUCAUCGCAUGGUGGGGGUUGGAAAGAUUUUUUGGUGCUGGGAUGGGCUCGCGGCCUAUCAGCUUGUUGGUGAGGUAAUGGCUCACCAAGGCGUCGACGGGUAGCCGGCCUGAGAGGG
rnacentral:rRNA from 1 species